UCUCUCUGUGUGUACAGGUGUGUUCUCUCUGUGUGUAACAGGUGUGUGUGUUCUCUCUGUGUGUAACAGGUGUGUGUGUGUUCUCUCUGUGUGUAACAGGUGUGUGUGUGUUCUCUCUGUGUGUAACAGGUGUGUGUGUUCUCUCUGUGUGUAACAGGUGUGUGUGUUCUCUCUGUGUGUAACAGGUGUGUGUGUUCUCUCUGUGUGUAACAGGUGUGUGUGUUCUCUCUGUGUGUAACAGGUGUGUGUGUUCUCUCUGUGUGUAACAGGUGUGUGUGUUCUCUCUGUGUGUAACAGGUGUGUGUGUUCUCUCUGUGUGUAACAGGUGUGUGUGUUCUCUCUGUGUGUACAGGUGUGUGUUCUCUCUGUGUGUAACAGGUGUGUUCUCUCUGUGUGUAACAGGUGUGUGUGUGUGUGUGUUCUCUCUGUGUGUAAUAGGUGUGUGUGUGUGUUCUCUCUGUGUGUACAGGUGUGUGUGUUCUCUCUGUGUGUACA